UAUUCAUGAGAGAGCCGUUGGCUAGACACGCGUAACUGUUAUACAUGUUAGGCUUGAAAAUCAUAAAAUUCUCAUGUAAAGUAAACGGAAAAGUUUUUAUCAGUAAUUAUUAUCAGGUUUUACUGCUAACUUUGACAAAUAUUUUAAUGAAGUGUUUAAUGAAAGAAUGGGAGACAACUAUUUUCGCUAAAAUGGGCUAUCGAAAAUACAGGUGAGCUGAUUAAUCCGGCGC
rnacentral:lncRNA from 1 species